rnacentral:rRNA from 1 species
GGAAUAUUGGACAAUGGGCGCAAGCCUGAUCCAGCCACGCCGCGUGAGUGAUGAAGGCCUUCGGGUCGUAAAGCUCUGUGGGGAGGGACGAACCGCCGGUGGUGCAUAGCCACCGGCAUGACGGUACCUCCUUAGCAAGCACCGGCUAACUGCGUGCCAGCAGCCGCGGUAAUACGAAGGGUGCAAACGUUGCUCGGAAUUAUUGGGCGUAAAGCGCACGUAGGCGGCUUUGCAAGUCCCAUGUGAAAGCCCACGGCUUAACCGUGGAAGUGCAUGGGAAACUGCAGAGCUUGAGUACUUAAGAGGAUCGCGGAAUUCCCGGUGUAGAGGUGAAAUUCGUAGAUAUCGGGAGGAACACCAGUGGCGAAGGCGGCGAUCUGGGAAGAUACUGACGCUGAGGUGCGAAAGCGUGGGGAGCAAAC